rnacentral:rRNA from 1 species
GGGAUUGCCUCAGUAACGGCGAGUGAAGCGGCAAAAGCUCAAAUUUGAAAUCUGCGUAAGCCGAGUUGUAAUUUGAAGAUGGCUACUUUGGUAAUGGCUCUUGUCUAUGUUCCUUGGAACAGGACGUCACAGAGGGUGAGAAUCCCGUGCGAUGAGAUGUCCAUUACCGUGUAAAGUGCUUUCGAAGAGUCGAGUUGUUUGGGAAUGCAGCUCUAAGUGGGUGGUAAAUUCCAUCUAAAGCUAAAUAUUGGCGAGAGACCGAUAGCGAACAAGUACAGUGAUGGAAAGAUGAAAAGAACUUUGAAAAGAGAGUGAAAAAGUACGUGAAAUUGUUGAAAGGGAAGGGCUUGAGAUCAGACUUGGUAUUUUGUAUGGCUUGCUUUCGGGCGGGUCCUCUGCAGUUUACUGGGCCAGCAUCGGUUUGGGUGGCAGGAUAAUAGCAUAGGAAUGUGGCUCUACUUCGGUGGAGUGUUAUAGCCUUUGUUGAUACUGCCUGCCUAGACCGAGGACUGCGUCUUUUGACUAGGAUGCUGGCAUAAUGAUCCUAAGCCGCCCGUCUUGAAACACGGACCAAGGAGUCUAACGUCUAUGCGAGUGUUUGGGUGUAAAACCCGUACGCGGAAUGAAAGUGAACGUAGAUGAGAGCCUUUUAGGCGCAUCAUCGACCGAUCCUGAUGUCUUCGGAUGGAUUUGAGUAAGAGCAUAGCUGUUGGGACCCGAAAGAUGGUGAACUAUGCCUGAAUAGGGUGAAGCCAGAGGAAACUCUGGUGGAGGCUCGUAGCGGUUCUGACGUGCAAAUCGAUCGUCGAAUUUGGGUAUAGGGGCGAAAGACUAAUCGAACCAUCUAGUAGC